CUCCAUCACGGCCUUUCCGUUUUCCAUCUUGGCGUUGCAGUCGGCGGUCGCAGCCAACCAAGACGAUCGAGAAGGCUUCUCAGUGUUGCAGUCGGCGGUCGGAGCCCUCCCUUGUCGUCGCUCGCGGCGUCGCCUUAGCUCCCUCACCCUUGCUUUCACCCUCCAUCACUUUCUUCCCUUCGCACCUGCGGAUCCGCCCACAAACCUCCGGACACGCUCCGACGCGCGUGUCGGAAAGAGUUGACCACGUGUCGGAAACUCGGACACGUGUUGACCGCG
rnacentral:lncRNA from 1 species